GAUGAACGCUAGCGGCAGGCCUAAUACAUGCAAGUCGAACGGCCCCGACACUUCGGUGUCGGGGUAGUGGCGCACGGGUGCGUAACGCGUGGGAAUCUGCCCUUGGGUUCGGAAUAACUCAGAGAAAUUUGAGCUAAUACCGGAUGAUGACGUAAGUCCAAAGAUUUAUCGCCCAAGGAUGAGCCCGCGUAAGAUUAGCUAGUUGGUGGGGUAAAGGCCUACCAAGGCGACGAUCUUUAGCUGGUCUGAGAGGAUGAUCAGCCACACUGGGACUGAGACACGGCCCAGACUCCUACGGGAGGCAGCAGUGGGGAAUAUUGGACAAUGGGCGAAAGCCUGAUCCAGCAAUGCCGCGUGAGUGAUGAAGGCCUUAGGGUUGUAAAGCUCUUUUACCAGGGAUGAUAAUGACAGUACCUGGAGAAUAAGCUCCGGCUAACUCCGUG
rnacentral:rRNA from 1 species